GAGUCUGCUGCUGGAUGCGCUUGAUGGUUGCUCCCUUUGGUCCAACGACUAAACCCACUACUCUGUAGGGCAC